rnacentral:rRNA from 1 species
GACGAACGCUGGCGGCGUGCCUAAUACAUGCAAGUAGAACGCUGAAGGAGGAGCUUGCUUCUCUGGAUGAGUUGCGAACGGGUGAGUAACGCGUAGGUAACCUGCCUGGUAGUGGGGGAUAACUAUUGGAAACGAUAGCUAAUACCGCAUAAUAGCAGUUGUUGCAUGAUAACUGUUUGAAAGGUGCAAUUGCACCGCUACCAGAUGGACCUGCGUUGUAUUAGCUAGUUGGUGGGGUAACGGCUCACCAAGGCGACGACACAUAGCCGACCUGAGAGGGUGAGCGGCCACACUGGGACUGAGGCACGGCCCAGACUCCUACGGGAGGCAGCAGUAGGGAAUCUUCGGCAAUGGACGGAAGUCUGACCGAGCAACGCCGCGUGAGUGAAGAAGGGUUUCGGAUCGUAAAGCUCUGUUGUAAGAGAAGAACGAGUGUGAGAGUGGAAAGUUCACACUGUGACGGUAUCUUACCAGAAAGGGACGGCUAACUACGUG